CUUUAGCCCCAAUAGUAAUGGAAAUCCUUGUGAGCCGGGGUUCGGCUCGCAAGAUUGCAAUGGAUUGCUUCGC
rnacentral:sRNA from 1 species